rnacentral:rRNA from 1 species
UACGUAGGGGGCAAGCGUUAUCCGGAUUUACUGGGUGUAAAGGGAGCGUAGACGGCGCGGCAAGUCUGAAGUGAAAGGCAGGGGCUUAACCCCUGAACUGCUUUGGAAACUGCCAUGCUAGAGUGCUGGAGAGGUAAGUGGAAUUCCUAGUGUAGCGGUGAAAUGCGUAGAUAUUAGGAGGAACACCAGUGGCGAAGGCGGCUUACUGGACAGUAACUGACGUUGAGGCUCGAAAGCGUGGGGAGCAAACA